CAGUCGCCACGGGAACACGGAGGGGGCUAGCGUUGUUCGGAAUUACUGGGCGUAAAGCGCACGUAGGCGGCUUGGUAAGUUAGAGGUGAAAGCCUGGAGCUCAACUCCAGAAUUGCCUUUAAGACUGCCGAGCUAGCAGGUGAGAGAGGUAAGUGGAAUUCCGAGUGUAGAGGUGAAAUUCGUAGAUAUUCGGAAGAACACCAGUGGCGAAGGCGGCUUACUGGCUCAUACUGGACGCUGAGGUGCGAAAGCGUGGGGAGCAAACAGGAUUAGAUACCCCCGUAGUCCCUGUCUCUUAUAC
rnacentral:rRNA from 1 species